rnacentral:rRNA from 1 species
UACGUAGGGCCCGAGCGUUAUCCGGAGUGACUGGGCGUAAAGAGUUGCGUAGGUGGUUUGUAAAGUGAAUAGUGAAAUCUGGCGGCUCAACCGUACAGGCUAUUAUUCAAACUCACAAACUCGAGAAUGGUAGAGGUCACUGGAAUUUCUUGUGUAGGAGUGAAAUCCGUAGAUAUAAGAAGGAACACCAAUGGCGUAGGCAGGUGACUGGACCAUUUCUGACACUGAGGCACGAAAGCGUGGGGAGCGAACCGG